rnacentral:rRNA from 1 species
GACGAACGCUGGCGGCGUGCUUAACACAUGCAAGUCGAGCGGUAAGGCCCUUUCGGGGGUACACGAGCGGCGAACGGGUGAGUAACACGUGGGUGACCUGCCCUCAGCUCUGGGAUAAGCCUGGGAAACCGGGUCUAAUACUGGAUAUGACUCCAUGACGCAUGUUGUGGGGUGGAAAGCCUUGUGCGGCUGAGGAUGGGCCCGCGGCCUAUCAGCUUGUUGGUGGGGUGAUGGCCUACCAAGGCGACGACGGGUAGUCGGCCUGAGAGGGCGACCGGCCACACUGGGACUGAGACACGGCCCAGACUCCUACGGGAGGCAGCAGUGGGGAAUCUUGCGCAAUGGGCGAAAGCCUGACGCAGCGACGCCGCGUGAGGGAUGACGGCCUCGGUGU